GCUUUAUUAAAAUCUCACAAGUGACAUAACUGAGAAGAGCUGGGAUAACUUUUUGCCAUUUUUGGAUUUAUCACAUUUGUGAGUAUACUGCUGCCUUUUGCUAACUGGUUUAUAGUAAGGCGUUGAUAUAAUUUAUUCAUAUCGUACGUACGAUCAUAUUCAUACUAACCAGUUAAAGACAUAAAAAAAUACUUCCAUACAUUUCCUUCAGCGGCUUUAUAGUAACUUCAUAUUUCACAAAAAUAGAAUAUGUAAAUAUCAUUAAAUUUGUAUGAAUUGCACGUUUACAAAAAUAGCUUCACAUUUUAUUUUAUGGAGCAUAUUGUGAUAUCGUUCACAGUAUAAUUACAUCCCCAUCCAUUCAGUGUUUGCAGUCUGCAGGUGAGACGAGUC